UGAAUAAUUAGUUAAGCAGUGACUUCAUUAAUGCAGUCCCUGCCAGUCUGUUUACAAGUAACUAAUCAUUAGUGCUUGAAUUACAGUUAAUCAAUAACUACUCACUAAGUAACCAGUUGCUCCUCAUUUGUUACUCAGUAACUGUCUAUAUUUUUGUGUACCCUUUUUUUUCUUCUUUUUGACAUGUUUCCAAUGUUUGUCAUGAAUCCAAACAUACUGGUAUUUGUGUUUUAUAGGUACCGGUAGUUAAUUAUUAGGUUGUAUUUCAUACACUGGAAAGAUCAAUAAUGGUUUUCGGUGUCACAGAAGUAAGUUUUUCUGUAUUGCUCUGGUACGUUGCCUUAUAACAUCCAGCUUCUGAUGAUGCUACUGUGUCACUUUCUCCCUAGCUUGCUGUUUGCAAUGCCUACGCACUGUUGCAUUCACCUUCACAGCCUCGGAUGUAAAAGAUGAUAAAAGAUGUGCACAGAACCUUUUGAUCUUCACUAUUUAUAUUCUUGCGUGGGUUCCUUGUUUGUCAUUCUCAAACGGCUGAUGCAUGGAACAUGAUGCAUCUGUGCUUUUUUCAGAAGUUAUUGCCUUUUUCUUUCCAAAGCAUAGCACUGAAAAAGGACUUUAUUUUUAAGAGUAGCAGAAAUGUCAACUUAUAUUGGUCGGUAUAGCUAGAAAGAAGCAGAGGGGAAGAUCCCCCUAUUUCUAAAUAUAGGCCUACUACAGUAGCCGUUUGGCCUGGCAAGUCUGCUCAUGCUUGGUAUUUUUUGGAUAAAAAAGGCUGUAGAUCAGUGUUGUUAUGGCAGGUUUUGCAAGAAUGUACUGUAUGUUUUGUUGGAGGUACAUGUUUUCCAGUUUGUAUGUGUGGUGGAUUUCCCAGAAACCACAUUUCGGGGGACGAGAAUAUUGGGCCAGUCUCUAAUAAAAAAACCUGUUCAUGUAUAACACACACACACACAGUGAGAGAGAGAUGCUCUUUGGCAUCUGUGGGACUGCAUUAUCUUUGUUUACGUUAAAGGUUCAUUUAAACCUAACGCCUCCAGCAUGAGUUUAAAUACACCUUCAGGAAGACAGGAACUUCAGAGAGUUGGGACGGCACUGCACAAUAACACAUCCUGGUUAAACUGUACUGACUGCUUAAGUGUCUCCU